AAAGAAAGCGUAAUAGCUCACUGGUCGAGUCGGCCUGCGCGGAAGAUGUAACGGGGCUAAACCAUGCACCGAAGCUGCGGCAGCGACGCUGAUGCGUUGUUGGGUAGGGGAGCGUUCUGUAAGCCUGUGAAGGUGGCCUGUGAGGGUUGCUGGAGGUAUCAGAAGUGCGAAUGGUGACAUAAGUAACGAUAAAGCGGGUGAAAAGCCCGCUCGCCGGAAGACCAA
rnacentral:rRNA from 1 species